GGGUCAGUGGGUUGGUCGUGCCACCGGUACGUACUGGUCUCACCGAUUCCUCCUUCCUGAAGAACCGUAAUGCCAUUAAUUUGGUGUUGCGGGGAAACAGGACUGUUACUUUGAAAAAAUUAGAGUGUUUAAAGCAAGCUAACGCUUGAAUACAUUAGCAUGGAAUAAUGAAAUAGGACGAUCGAUCCUAUUUUGUUGGUUUCUAGGAUUGACGUA
rnacentral:rRNA from 1 species